rnacentral:rRNA from 1 species
AUGCAUCCUUCUCGAUUAAGGACGACAUUCCGGGAGGAUAGGUGGCUUGGAAAUGCCACACUCCGGGAACAAUAUCCGGCUCUAUACAACAUUGUGCGUCACAAGGGUGAUACUAUCGCCAGUGUAAUGGAAUCAUUUCUGCCAAAUGUGACGUUCAGAAGAGAUUUAAUUGGACCCAGAGUCCAAUCGUGGUACAUCCUGCUUCAACGGUUGUCCACGGUGCAAUUAUCACAUGGGUCUGAUGUAUUUCGAUGGAACCUACAUGGGAAUGGAAAAUUCUCAGUGGAUUCUAUGUAUAGUGCAUUAAUCCAAUCUGCUGUGCCAGUUGAUAAUAAUAAGAAGAUCUGA